GCCUUUAUUAGGUCUUGUCAUGUUUCAUAUUGGUUUGGCCGCUGCUCUGGCAAGAACCACAAAGUACUAAAAAGCUGCCAUCCCAAGUGGCUCCCUGGCCCUUCCUUAAAGUGGGCUUCGCUGGCUUCUGCUCUGUCAUUUCUCAGGUGCUGCUGUCCCCCACCACUCAGGCCUUAGCCCAGGUAGUGUUGCCUCCACCUGCACCCACCCCUCCGACCCCAAUGUCCCACCCACCAGGGGACCUGGCCCCUCCUGGCUCACAGGGACUCUGCCUGCCCUGCCUGAGUACUCCCCACCCACCCUGCACUUCCCUGUGGCCAGGUCACCUCGGCCUAGUAUGGUUUGCUCCUGGCCACGUGUCCCGCAGGGGCUCUGGCCAGGUUGCUCAGAACAUGAGGUGCCAGAGGGGAGGCCCUGGCCUGGCUCUGCCACUCCAGAUGCCGCCCUGGGAGGCUGAGGUGUGGGGCUGCCAGAGAAGGUCAGAGCGGAGGCCUUGGCGUAACUGGGAAACAGGCGCCCGGCUCAAACUCAGGACCCGCCCAACACAGUGCAUUUCUCUCCUUCAUUUGUGAGUGACCUCCCCUGCUAAUGCCCCACUCCCAGGAGCCUCCAGGUGGGGUCAGGAAUGGAAGGUGUUCAUCCCAUCAGGCCCUGGCUGGUUUUCCAGACUGGGGGGGAUGGACUCAGCAGGCCUCUGUCCUGCAGGAGAGAAGGCAUGUGCCCGGUCUUCCUCCUACUGGAAGGCUGGGAGCAGCAGACAGCUGGCCGGGUCUCUGCUGCUGGGUGGGGGCUAGGAUUCCAUUGCCCUGCUCUUUACCUGGUCCCUCUCCCACGUGCCACUUUCUUGGCAUCUAUGAGAGUGGUAUUUUGGUUUUUCCUCAUUGCUGGGAUUUAUGGUUGUCCUUAGAAGGAAGGAACAGAGACUGCCCCACGCCAUCUCGGUCUAGACUCACAAAAGGGCAUUCAGUUUCUGAAAAGUGGUGACGCUGACAGUAGGCAGCCAUCAGAGCAGUUGGGUAAGAGCUCAGCUCAGGGAAGCGAAGGUCACAGGAGGAGACAAUUCAGGGUGCUUGGGUGGGGAGUGUAAAGGGGAGGAGGAGGAAGACCCCACCGUGUGGUGGAAAGACUGAUGGUGUGCUAUCGCUGAGGGUCCAGUUUGGGGUGAUCCUGGGUUUAGGGUUAGGGUAGAAGGCCUGCUGCCCGAGCCCGGGGGGAGCCAGGUGCACGUCCACCUGAGGGACGUGCUUCCUGAGCUUGCUUUCAGGUAGAACCUGAAGACACGGACGGGAGUCUCCCUCCCUGCCUGCCACGAUGGCUACACUGAUUCCUCACCCCAGCUCAGAGACUCGACAAUGUGCCAUUCAUCCGCCUCCUGGUGCCUGGCACCAGGGAGAGGGGGCUGGUCCUGGCGGUGCACCGGCCUAUGUGGAAGCAAUAGUACAUUUCAGCAAGGCAAGGGGCGGCUUCACUCUCCGAGGAGGAGUGGCAGAGCAGCUGCCAGGGAUGGAAGAAGCACCUCCUUCCCAUCUCCUUUCCCACCUAGAGAACUGGGAGGUGAAGGAAUAAGGUGGGUGCAGAUCCACGAGCUCCGAGGAGACCCAGGAACCCAGCUCAGCCCAGGAACUCAUCUGAGGACACCUUCCCCGCUGAGCUCUCCGGGGC
ensembl:lncRNA